ensembl:lncRNA
AUCAACCACUCCACAUGUUGGGGUCCAAAAUAUCAGAAUAGCCCAAGCAGGCACAAUAGUCCCACAAUGCAAUAUCUCUAUCUCAGUUAGGCAACAAAACCUUCCACUCAAGAACAACAGCAAACACUCUGGAGGGAGCUAACUAGGUCUUUGAAAGUUCAUUUUAAUACAUAUUUAAGAUGAGAUAUGCCACUGCUAUUAAUCUGAGAAACAGAACAGAAUGAGAUGUUGAACUGUGACCCUGAAGAGAAAUUACACAGCCUUUUUAAAGACAAGAACGCAAAACAAGGUGGGUUGUAGUAUUGUCCAUUCUUAUUGACACAAUGGUGGAGUGAUGAAUUAAAUGCAGGGGAGUGGGUUUAACCUAGGUUAUCAGGUUUCAAAACUUCGAAUCAGAGCCUUAGGUCAGGCCUAAACAUUUUGAACAUAAAUCAAAAUGGUAUUGAAGCAAAGGAGUAAUCCAGUUGCACAUAGGUAUUUACAGCACUAUAGGUAAUGCCUUUACAAAUUAUGUACCUUAGUUUAGAUAACAGACAUCCUUUUGCUUUAUAUUCAUGUGUAAUAUAUGACCAACAGACAAACAAGACACAUCAAGUGAAAGUUGGUUCCAUGGACUCAGUUUCACCCUGCCAAGAGGAUGGAGUUAUCCCUGACAUGGAUUGUUUCAGACUAUUUUCUAUUAUUCCCAUUUUUAAAUUUCUGAGAUUGAAUACUUUUUUUCUCCAUGCUGCCUCUUUGAUUUUUAAUCAUCCUUGCUAUGUGAAGAUACACCAUUUUUCAUUUUCAAAUUGAUGUUCAACGAAAAGCCGAGCAUUUAUUUAUCAAGGCAAUAGAGGUAUAUGUUAAAAUUUAUUGAUUGACCCAUCCAUUAUUUGCUUGCUUGCAAAUUAUGAGUUUGAGUAAAAAAGCAUCAAAAUGAAAACAUAUUGUAUAUGUUUUCAUAGUUGCUCUUACACAGGCCAUAAAAUAUUAGGAUUUUUAAAGGUUAUUGGCAUUAUAAUCAGAAAUAAUUUUUAAGGCGUCCAACAAAUAAAACAGAGAAAUGAAUAGAUCUAGGUCUAUUCACACAGUCUACAGGGAGAAAAGAACAGGAAUAGAUUGAUUUAUUGAGAACUG